AGUUAACGUAGCAUAACUUGGUGUUGCAAAAGGCCUAAACCCUUCCCAUAGAGGUUCAAAUCCUCUCAUUAACU
rnacentral:tRNA from 1 species